GUUUAGUUUAGGUUCCAUUUUCCUUCUUCUUUACGGCGGCGUUGGGGAAGGCGGUUGGAAUCAGCAGACCAGAGUUUUCUUGUGUCUCUCUGUCCAUACUUACUGCAACUGCUUUGUUAUUGCUAGAAGACGAUUAUUUGUUAUUAUGGACGAACUUGAGCCUUAUUCUAUUUCCCUAAUAAGGCUCAAGCAGCUACAGAUAGAGUCAGAAAGAUUAAGGCACUCAGGUCGCUUAUCUAAAACGG